UGCAGAUGAUGUGAAAGAAUAUUUGCUAUCUGAGUGAUGGUGAGGACGUCCCUAACCACCAAGAUCGCUGAUGCA
ensembl:snoRNA SNORD24 Small nucleolar RNA SNORD24